CUGCAUUCAAUUAAGCCAGUCAGGUUCCCUUCCUCAGAGGGGUCCUGUGCACAAUGGCCGGGACCAGCAGCCUCUUUGAGAGCAUGUGAGGCCUGUUGCCUAUACAGGUCGUUCUACCAGAUCUCGGAGACAGUU
ensembl:snoRNA SNORA70 Small nucleolar RNA SNORA70